UCUAUGCUCGCUAUCCCAAGGUUCAUUGCGAUCCCAAGCUUCACUGCGGUUUUCCACAAGCCUGUUUCUGCCUAUCACCAUGAGUGAUUCCUUUAUACUCAGAUUUAUCAUCAAGAUCUCAAUUAUAAGCUUAAGUCUUGAUGACAAUUUGAUGAUCUGCAGGAGCACCACCAUGUAAGGAAGGCCAAGACCUCUCUGGAAUCAGUCAAGGCUCAUAGGAACUCCAAUCUUCCCAACUGUGAAAGGGCCUUGCUCCAGUGACUGAUUGCAGUGACCAGACAUGCUAUUGUAACUCUCAUGGUCAUGUGCUGGAAUUAGCAGAUAUUCAACAAUUUGGCCAUCUCGCCGACCUAUUGAUAUCAGAAGACCGCAGCAGCUCUGCAAAGCAAGUUGCAAAACAGAAUCCAUGAAACUGGUAGUGACUGGAAACCAAUUGGAAGACUUUGGUCUGUGAUGUAGAGGAAUGGGCAGAGGGUGAGGAAAUUCUUAUUAAUAUUACAUGUAGUCAUGAAAAAUUGUAACUGUUACUAGUAUUGUCAUUUUUUCAGUAGCAGAAGCAAAGACAACAAACAACAAAAGUGAUAUGGAUGUCUUCGUCAUA
ensembl:processed_transcript